rnacentral:rRNA from 1 species
AACCUAAAGAAUUUGGCGGUUUCUAAACCUACUAGAGGAACCUGCCCCAUAAACGACAAUCCACGAAAAAAUUCACCCGGGCUAGUUAUGCAGCUUAUAUACCGUCGUUUAGAGGACUAAAUAAAUAGAUCCUCUUAAAAGCUUAGGCUAAUAAAUCAGAUCAAGGUGUAGCUCAUGCCCGGGAGAGGGUGGGUUACAAUGAAAAUUCAUACGGAGCUUUUAUUUUAUGAUAGAAAAGAAGGUGGAUUUAGAAGUAAGACUUAAUAUACUGAAAAAGGCUCUCAGAAAUGUACACAUCGCCCGUCGCUCUCUUGUUCGAAGAGAUAAGUCGUAACAAAGUAGGUGGACCGGAAGGUCUAUCUCGAAAGA